AACGAACGCUGGCGGCAGGCCUAACACAUGCAAGUCGAGCGCUCACCUUCGGGUGGGAGCGGCGCACGGGUGAGUAACACGUGGGAACCUACCUUGAAGUACGGAAUAACUGAGGGAAACUUCAGCUAAUACCGUAUACGCCCUACGGGGGAAAGAUUUAUCGCUUCAAGACGGGCCCGCGUUGGAUUAGCUAGUUGGUGAGGUAAUGGCUCACCAAGGCAACGAUCCAUAGCUGAUUUGAGAGAAUGAUCAGCCACACUGGGACUGAGACACGGCCCAGACUCCUACGGGAGGCAGCAGUGGGGAAUAUUGGACAAUGGGCGCAAGCCUGAUCCAGCCAUGCCGCGUGAGUGAUGAAGGCCUUCGGGUUGUAAAGCUCUUUCAGAUGGGACGAUGAUGACGGUACCAUCAGAAGAAGCCCCGGCUAACUUCGUG
rnacentral:rRNA from 1 species